GUGACCUCAAAUCAGGUAGGACUACCCGCUGAACUUAAGCAUAUCAAUAAGCGGAGGAAAAGAAACUAACAAGGAUUCCCCUAGUAACUGCGAGUGAAGCGGGAAAAGCUCAAAUUUAAAAUCUGGUGGUCUUUUGGCUGCCCGAGUUGUAAUCUAGAGAAGUGUUAUCCGCGCUGGACCGUGUACAAGUCUCCUGGAAUGGAGCAUCAUAGAGGGUGAGAAUCCCGUCUUUGACAUGGACUCCCAGGGCUUUUGUGAUGCGCUCUCAAAGAGUCGAGUUGUUUGGGAAUGCAGCUCAAAAUGGGUGGUAAAUUCCAUCUAAAGCUAAAUAUUGGCGAGAGACCGAUAGCGAACAAGUACCGUGAGGGAAAGAUGAAAAGAACUUUGGAAAGAGAGUUAAACAGUGCGUGAAAUUGCUGAAAGGGAAACGCUUGAAGUCAGUCACGUUGUCCAGGGAUCAACCUUGCUUUUGCUUUGGUGCACUUUCUGGUUAACGGGUCAGCAUCAAUUUUGACCAUUGGAAAAAGAUUAGGGGAAUGUGACAUCUUCGGAUGUGUUUAUAGUCCUUGGUUGCAUACAAUGGUUGGGAUUGAGGAACUCAGCACGCCCUCAGGGGUCGGACCCUUAGGUCACGUACGUGCUAGGAUGCUGCAUA
rnacentral:rRNA from 1 species